AAGCAGAGAUGGGAGGACACGAUAAUGUCCACGCCAACUCGACUCGGGUCCAAAGUUGAGCAGAGCUCCGGCAGAGUAAUUGUGCUCAGAUGUCACCUGUCCAACUUCUCAUUAGCCCCGCCCCCUCCUCUUGUGUGAACAUCUCAGCAAUGGAAUAGAAGACGCUCUGAAAAGAAAAAACGCCUCCGUGACCGAGGAGUCCGAGGAACCAGAUAUGUUAUCUGGAGGAAUCUGGAGGGGAAAAGCAUUUCCCAAUCUGGCCCGCCUCGCCUUGGCCCGUCCUGCCUGCGGAGGAACGAACCAUUUGGACCGCAGGCCUCUUCCUGACAUCUGACAAUCCCAAAAAAAAAAAAAAAGAUCUGACGAAGGAAAAACGGAGAUAAGAUAUGCUGACGCGGCCAACUGAGUGCGAGCCACAAGAGAACAGCCGUGGUCAGCCAGAGGUUAUUUCAGCCUUGAUCAGAGGCCGCCAGCGACUCGGGCAGCUGCGGGCAACAUGACGAGAGGUGUGAACUCCCCCGAGCUUAAUGAGCCCACGGCGCAGGCGGAUUACACGGCGGGUCAAAGACGAUCGUGCUCUCAUCUGAUGGAGUGCAAACGAGUGAGACCUUACACACAUUGAUGGAAUUCCCGGGGGGACCGCCACGGAAAGAGAGAGAAAGAGAUCCCACGCCAGUGAUGCAGAAAGCAGAUGGAGAGAGGUGCGAGCACACACACAUGCACACACACACGUGUCUGUAUCAUGAUAUACAAUAUACACAUUCAGCCUUUGUGUUGAGGGAUUUGUUGAGUGUACGUUACGAAAGAGUGACAUUUUCACACUACCGCUUUAUGUCUUCACUUGCAUUGAGUCAAAGUGGAAAAAAUGUUGGCAAAUUUGAACCCAGCUCACACGCAAAAGUAACGAGAGACUCAGUAGAAAAUGGAAAAAUAUUUGUCUC